rnacentral:rRNA from 1 species
GAUGAACGCUGGCGGCGUGCCUAAUACAUGCAAGUCGAGCGAACGGACGAGAAGCUUGCUUCUCUGAUGUUAGCGGCGGACGGGUGAGUAACACGUGGAUAACCUACCUAUAAGACUGGGAUAACUUCGGGAAACCGGAGCUAAUACCGGAUAAUAUUUUGAACCGCAUGGUUCUAAAGUGAAAGACGGUCUUGCUAUCACUUAUAGAUGGGUCCGCGCUGCAUUAGCUAGUUGGUAAGGUAACGGCUUACCAAGGCAACGAUGCAUAGCCGACCUGAGAGGGUGAUCGGCCACACUGGAACUGAGACACGGUCCAGACUCCUACGGGAGGCAGCAGUAGGGAAUCUUCCGCAAAGGGCGAAAGCCUGACGGAGCAACGCCGCGUGAGUGAUGAAGGUCUUCGGAUCGUAAAACUCUGUUAUUAGGGAAGAACAUAUGUGUAAGUAACUGUGCACAUCUUGACGGUACCUAAUCAGAAAGCCACGGCUAACUACGUG